GAUGAACGCUGGCGGCGUGCCUAAUACAUGCAAGUCGAACGGAGAUUGUAGCAAUACGGUCUCAGUGGCGAACGGGUGAGUAACGCGUUGGUGACCUGCCCCAAAGAGCGGGAUAACAGUUCGAAAGGACUGCUAAUACCGCAUGUGAUCUCCGGGACUAGAAGCCUGGAGAUGGAAGGGAGAAAUCCGCUUUGGGAGGGACCUGCGUCCCAUCAGCUAGUUGGUAGGGUAACGGCCUACCAAGGCGAUGACGGGUAGGGGACCUGAGAGGGUGGCCCCCCACAAUGGAACUGAAACACGGUCCAUACACCUACGGGUGGCAGCAGUAGGGAAUAUUGGUUAAUGGGCGAAAGCCUGAACCAGC
rnacentral:rRNA from 1 species